rnacentral:rRNA from 1 species
UCGAGGAUCUUCGGCAAUGGGCGCAAGCCUGACCGAGCGACGCCGCGUGUGCGAUGAAGGCCUUCGGGUUGUAAAGCACUGUCGGGGGGAAGAAAGACCCGCAAGGGUUUGAUCGACCUCCGGAGGAAGCACGGGCUAAGUUCGUGCCAGCAGCCGCGGUAAGACGAACCGUGCGAACGUUAUUCGGAAUCACUGGGCUUAAAGGGCGCGUAGGCGGGCUCGCCAGUCAGGGGUGAAAGCCUCCAGCUCAACUGGAGAAGUGCCUUUGAUACUGCGAGUCUCGAGGGAGGUAGGGGCGUGCGGAACUUCCGGUGGAGCGGUGAAAUGCGUAGAUAUCGGAAGGAACACCGGUGGCGAAAGCGGCGCGCUGGACCUCUUCUGACGCUGAGGCGCGAAAGCCAGGGGAGCAAACGGGAUUAGAUACCCCCGUAGUCC